UACGGAGGGUGCAAGCGUUAUCCGGAUUUAUUGGGUUUAAAGGGUGCGUAGGCGGCUUGAUAAGUCAGCGGUGAAAUAUUUCAGCUUAACUGGAAGGGUGCCGUUGAUACUGUCAGGCUUGAAUUUAGUUGCUGUGGGUGGAAUGUGUGGUGUAGCGGUGAAAUGCAUAGAUAUCACACAGAAUAUCGAUUGCGAAGGCAGCUCACAAAGCUAAAAUUGACGCUGAUGCACGAAAGUGUGGGGAUCAAACAGG
rnacentral:rRNA from 1 species